UAAACGUUGCUAGUUCAUUUUUUAUUAUAUACAUUAUGUCAUAGUUAAAUUUUCAAAAUACAACUAGAUCCAAUGACCACCCCAACAUACAUACAUGACCCACAUAAACGUCUACGGAGCCUCUAAGGGUACAAAAGAGCAACAUGACAAUGCCGGCAACAAAGCCCCGGCUAUACCUCAAAAUACAAAAACUUAUACAAAAGGACUACAUGGCCCCAAGAAGAAAUGGGGCUCACCAAGACUGCUGUGAUGAGUGUCAAGGAGAGCACCACUAUCUACGAUCAGCACUGUCUGCGAUGGAACCACCUACAUCCAUUCAAAUAUGUAGCGCCCCCGGCAAAAGGGACGUUAGUACUGUCGAAUAGUACUAGUAUGUAAGGCAAACAUCAAUCUCAGUAGAAUGAACAGUGAAACAAAGAUAAGGCAGUCACAACAAUCAAUAAGUACUUCACAGAAAUAUAAAGAAACACCAAGUAAGGAUCACAUAAUUUCCAAUUCAAUCUUUCCAUCUUUUAGGUUAAUAAUCUUUAGUGCCAAAGCCACAACUCAUAAUGCCACCGUGUUUUUAUACGGAGUCCGGUCUCGGCCCGACCGGCUAAGCCAUCCCAAGUGAGACAUAUCCAUACCCACAAUGUAAAUCAAUAGUUCCAACACAAAUGCCACCAUGUGUGCGGCAUGGCAUCCGAUCUCGGACCGAUCGGCUAAGCCAUCUCACUUGAGACAUAACCUCUUUUAAUUGUUCACUCAAUUCACAUCUCUUUCCCAUCUUUCAUUACAUGGCACAAACAGCCUCAUUUAUUAAAUAGUUCUUGGCACUUGGGCACAUUUUACAAUUCAAGUCUUUCCCUUUUUAUUCGUUCAAAUAACGUCAUCAUUCAUGUCGAUAAAUACCAUCACAUAAGACAUUUUACACAUAAGGGAAGGAGCUCAGAAAAUCAUAGUUACGUUUUCAAAUAGCAUGAUGACAUGUUAAACAUCUAAAACAAUUAGGGAACAUGAAUCUUCCAACCCAACACACUAAGGCAAACAAUUCUAGUAUGAUCAAGUCGGAACUUACACCAAAUAUUCGGACACCAGGAAUUCGAUUCUAGGAAGAAAAGAGUUAGCCAUACAUACCUCAAUUGCGCUUCUUUAGACUCUACAAUUAUCCAGAACCCUUAGCAACCUCAAUCUACUUUUGCAAUAUACAAAUUGAACCUAAAAUUAGGAAAAUGUUCAUAGUUCUAGUUCACUUUUUAUUUUCCCCACACUCUUUAUCACAUGCAUGCAAGAUGAAUCACUCUCAUACCCAUGAAGCAUUACCCUAGUACCCCAUUAUAGCUAUGUUUGAAAUUAAGAGCUGGGGUGAUGAAAUAUUACCCUUUUGGAUGAAGAAUUUGGUACUCUACUUGAAUAUUUCCAAACCUUGAGUGAUGGUUGAAGAUUAAUUAAUGGUAAUUAGAUCCUCCCUCUAGAACCCUCUCUAUCUCACACUAGAAAUAUCAGAAAUGAGCUUCAAAAUAGACUAAAUGGGUGUUUUAACGGAAUGGGGGUCGGGUUUUAAAUUAAGAAAAAUGGUGCCCCGACACAGGUCUGCGGUCGCAUAUGCGACCGCAUAAUGGUUAUGCGGUCCGCAAAGUGACCGCAUAAAUGGACCUCAGGGGGGCUGAACUUACGGCCCAGGUAUGCGACCAGUAUGCAGUCCGCAUACUCAUUCUGCAGUCGGAUAAUGCACCGCAGAACUCCCUCCACAAAAACUCAAGAGGGAUUAUACAAUCGAUAUGCGGUCGCAUAAUCGACCGCAAAACUGACCUCAAGUUGGCCAAACUUACUGCUUCACUCUGCGUCCAUUAUGCGUUCCGCAGAGUGAUUAUGUAGCCGUAUAAUGGGCCGCAGAAAUGCGUUCUUCUACUAAUAUAACGCAGGGAUCUACCUUGGCACCAUGAAAUCCCAAGUUUUUGGUUUAAAUUUUUACGGGUCCUUACAAUAGUGUCCAUUGGGAUUGUAGAAAUCCCGGCGGACUUUAGACAAGGUUUAUCUUAGCGGGUUAUUACGUUGAUAAUGCUCCAGCCCAUACUAGGUUUAGCAUGAUGCAUGUACAUUUCAAGUUGGAGUAGGGUUUCUAGAAUGUUCUAGACUGGUAUUCCUAAGGGAACAACUUGAGAGGGAAAGGCACGGGACUGUCGAUUGCACCGCUGAUCGACUAGUCUACCGCAAAUAAGCCUUUCCAAUUUUAAAAGGGUAAUAUUUGGAAGAGUGCGGACGCUCAUCAAGCGCCGCUAUGUUGAUAAUUGGCACGAGUGGAGUAUGAUGUGGAGCAUGCUUUAUGUAGAGAUAAUAACACAUUGCCAAAUAUUUGCAUGAUAGAAAGCAGAAAAUAGGAUAGCAAAAGUAAACAUGGAAAGAGUAGAGAAGAAAGACAAAAGGAAGAAGUCAGUUUAGUUCAUAAAAUUAUAUGCGGGAAUGUAAUAAAGCAGGAAGUAAGGAUGGGAAUGACAUGAUAUAGCAGUUUUAGACAAGAUGAAAAGAGAUGAAGAGUGGUUAUAAAGGUGAAUGGGGAAGGGUUGUGCAUGUCAUAGCAGAUUUAAACAGAUAAAGGCGAAUAGGAGAAGAGAUGUGCAUGUCAUAGAAAAUUCAAGCAAAUAAAGGUGAAUAAGGGAAGGGAUGUUCAUGUAGCAGCAGUUUUAGAACAAAAAAAGAAAAAGAGAGUAAUCCACAUAAGUCAAGUUCAUUAUCGAAAGCGGGCCUCGACGUGUGACAACUCUUUUAAAUGAGGUAUUAAAAGAGAAUAGUCUCCACCUAACGGUUUUUAAGGUGCAUUAGGGCACCUAUUUGCAAAUAACAAUAUUUUAACUAGUCUGUGUCACCAAAGAUGCUCGAAUUACCUCAAAGAGAAGGUGUUAGGCACUCUUCGAGGUCCACAACUGUGGGUCCCGGCCAAACUUCAAACUAUGUGGAUUACGUGAUUAGGCUAGAUAAUAAAAUAAACAAAGGAAGGUAUAGAAGUCGAAGAGUCUUAUCAUAACACAUUGAAAAUUGGUACAAAUCCUAAAUGAUUACAAAUGCAUUGGUCUAUGUUAAAUGACUAAAUGUAAAUGUCAAAUAUAUGAAGGAAAUGGGGGUUCCUAAGAUUUUUAGCCUUCAUCCCGUGCAACAUGAAUAAUACUUUGCAACUUCCUUUAGGUAGGGGUUGCUCAUAUUAUUCAGCGGGCAUAGACUAUCAUCUCCUGCUACCCAUUUACUAUGUUGAAGUUGUUUACUUAAAAGCAUUCUAAUUCAGUUCUAAGUCGUACCCUACGCGUGCGCUACCCGUCCCAUGCCUAUGGUCCAGGAGGCUUUGGACCUACUAUUUGGGUGGUUCUAGACUUUACUUAGGUUGCUCAAAAAAUGAUAAAACUAAGCGACAUUCAAAUCAGAUAGGACUUAACGUAAAAAUAAUUAAAGGCCUAAGUUAGCCUCCACAAAUAAGCAACAAAUACAUGCGGACAUAUUUCACAUUAUGCAAUAGGCAGUUUCAGAAUCGAGGUGUUGCUUGAAACCUAUAGGCAUAUUUUCUAGGUGGGCAAAGUAAUAAGACAACGGAAGUAGUCGACUGGUUAAUCAAUUAAAGCCCUAUAGACAUAGUAUCUAGAUGAGGAUUAGCAUGGCAUAUAUUAAUACAAUCCUAUAGGCAUGCUAUCAAAUAAGCACACUGCAGUUGCAAAAAUUGAGUGAAUAGUUGUUGAUGCUUGAUUCCUAUAGGCAUUCUAUCUAAUAUCGCAUAGCAGUAGACAUGUGAACAAGUAAAGCACUUAAACUCCCGCUUCUGAUAAUGUGGGCAUUAGACAAAUCGAGUAGGUGAAGUGUUUGAAUCCCUAUAGACAUGAUCUCUAUUAGUGUAUAGAAAUAGGCACAUCGAACAAAGUAGCAAACAAACAUGUAGAGCCUGUAAGCAUGUUAUCUACCCAUUCAUGUGAGAAUUAAAGUACCCUAUCCCCCAUUUUUUACUAAUUCCCCAAUUGUUUAGUUUACAAAUUAUUACAAAACCGGAUAAUGAAUACACCUACAGACAUUACAUAAAGAAUAAAUACAGGCCUAGAAAUAGACCCAAACAAAACAACCCAAUACUAGAUGGGCCUUCAACAAUCCUCACUCAUCACAUGACUAGCAGGCCCAAGCCCCAAGCUUAGCAGAACAAUAGAAAAUGCCUGAAUUUAGCACAUAGGUCCAACAACAUGUAUGGACCAAUACUAUGCCCAAGAUGCAUGACUUACCUACCGAUGCCAGACUUAACCAUGCAAGUGACAACUACUCAGGGAAUUCAUUAAACACCUUUUCACACUUAAUUCUGAAAGCUGUAAGUAACAAACAGUUCUAACCAAAACAUAUAAGGAGGAUCACAUGAAACUUUGGAAAAUAUAGAAAACAUAUAUAAAAUGGGCCCAUGCUAGGUUUUAAAGUGACAGGAUUGAACAUCAUAAGCUAACAAACUACUUCAAAUAUAAUUUUAAAACGAAGCAUAUUCCAGAAUUAGCCCAAAGGAUUUCAGACAAUCAACAUGAGAAUCUAGCAAAUUCAUAGACAAGAACAAAUGAGAGGCAGUUUUCAUAUGAAGGUUUUAACAUGAGAGCCUGAUGAGAGUAUGGUCAUCAACAACAUAGCAAUAGGCUAAUGGGCAUAGUUAAGAACUGUUGGUAGCAUAUCACUUAGUUAAAUAUGAGACCUAACAUGAUGGGCAUUACUAUAGCACAAAGACUCUAAAGAACUCAUGGUAGGUAAAAGAACAUGUCAAUUAUAGAUCAACAGGACAAACAAACAUUAGGAUUCAUAUCAGUCGAUCCCACAUGAGAGAAAACUACACAUUGACAUUAAUCCUAGAAGCAAUGCUAAAAGUGCAGGAUUGACAGAUCAAAGAACAUAAAUACUAUAGUUACGAAUUGUAAAUAAACAAGUUUGGUUAUAUAGAGAAAUAGUGCUAUAACAUAUGAGAAUCAGGAAUCAGUUGGUAGGAAAUAAUAGAUUAUUCUUAAAGGGUUCAAGAGGAAGAUAUUCCUUAAAGCAGAAUCUGAGCAAACAUGACACUAAGGCACAAGUAUGAACUUAUAACAAGCCCAGAACAUGACAUUAAGGCAUAAUUGUGAGCACAAAACAUUACAUUCAGGCUAGUAUGAACAUGGUCAGUAAGGUAAAACUUAAGAGGGCCAGAAACUAUUCUAAUCAAAAAUGCAGAGUGAAAGUCUACUACGCAUGUUAAAACCAUUCAAGUUCGAUACUAGAGGUCAUGUAACUAACAGAACAUCAUUGAGAUAGUAGAUUUAUAGAAAAGCACACAAUAAUAUAAUACUGCAAGUUCAUAAAUAACAGAGAAACCUAAGGCAUGUUUGUCUAAAAGUUCAACCAAUAUUUGCAUAUCAAGUACACACAUAAGCAAGUAAAGGAAUAACGAUGAAGGAUUUGAGAGUCAAGAAUGCUAACCAGUUGCGAAGAUAAACGAAUAAAAAGAGUGAGUACCCAGAAUCUCAGUAGUGACAGCAACAGAACAUCAAAAAAUCCCAAAUCCUAAUGUGUCAGAGUUCACAGGAGCUUCAGUGAGCCCCAAGCAGUGCUCGCACCAGGGUGGUUAAUAGAGAAGAUUCUGAUGGCCUUGGCUUUCAGCCGGCCAAGAGCAAUAGAUUCAGAAUAGUAUCGAGUGAAUGAGAGUGUGAGAGAAUAACAGUGAUUAAGGUUCCUUAAAGGGGAUUAGGGGAGGGGUUUAUAUAGUGGUGGAAUCAAGCGAUUAAACAUGGAAAAUAAUUAGUCAAACACAAAAUAAGGAAAAAAAAUCACAUGCAGUUCGACAGAAAUCAAAGAUUGGCCAAGGAUUUUGGUAAAUCAGACCCAUACAACCCAGUGGUGAGUGCAUGUAGACGAAAUACCUCCUAAGUCUCGAAGAUUGAGGACGGUUGUUCAUAACCCAAGGCCUGGUAUUUGCCAAAAAUCGGCAAGCACUAGGUGAUGCUAAAAUCGUGCAAGUAGCAGAUGACAGAACGUAUAAGGUAAGUGAAUCAUGGAUUGAUUCCAUUUUGGGGUAGGAAUCGGAGAGAUUUAAGGGAGGCUGCUAUUAGGGUUUCAAAGAAGGGAGGAAGGUUCGAUAGAUUCAAGGGGUGGCGGAAUGAGCGAUUUGUCUCUAGGGUUUGGGGGGAGG
rnacentral:lncRNA from 1 species